rnacentral:rRNA from 1 species
AUUGAACGCUGGCGGCAUGCCUUACACAUGCAAGUCGAACGGCAGCACGGGUGCUUGCACCUGGUGGCGAGUGGCGAACGGGUGAGUAAUAUAUCGGAACGUACCUUAUUGUGGGGGAUAACGCAGCGAAAGCUGUGCUAAUACCGCAUAAUCCCUAAGGGGGAAAGCGGGGGACCGUAAGGCCUCGCGCAAUUAGAGAGGCCGAUACCUGAUUAGCUAGUUGGUGAGGUAAAAGCUCACCAAGGCAACGAUCAGUAGCUGGUCUGAGAGGACGAUCAGCCACACUGGGACUGAGACACGGCCCAGACUCCUACGGGAGGCAGCAGUGGGGAAUUUUGGACAAUGGGGGCAACCCUGAUCCAGCAAUGCCGCGUGAGUGAAGAAGGCCUUCGGGUUGUAAAGCUCUUUUGUCAGGGAAGAAACAGCAGCUCUAACACAGUUUGCGAAUGACGGUACCUGAAGAAUAAGCACCGGCUAACUACGUGCCAGCCGCCGCAGUAA